GGAAGUAAAAGUCGUAACAAAGUUUCCGUAGGUGAACCUGCGGAAGGAUCAUUACCGAGUGAGGGCCCUCUGGGUCCAACCUCCCACCCGUGUUUAUUUACCUUGUUGCUUCGGCGAGCCUGCCUUUUGGCUGCCGGGGGACGUCAGUCCCCGGGUCCGUGCUCGCCGGAGACACCUUAGAACUCUGUCUGAAGAUUGUAGUCUGAGAUUAAAUAUAAAUUAUUUAAAACUUUCAACAACGGAUCUCUUGGUUCCG
rnacentral:misc_RNA from 1 species